rnacentral:tRNA from 1 species
CAGGGAGACAAUAACUGAUUGUGAUGUCUGGCUAAAUUAUUGCUAGGCCAUGAUCCUGUCAUCUCGAUGGUUAAUCGGUACCUCAACCGACAGAAGCGAAGCCAAAAUCUAUUCCAGAAAUGGGAGAGUGGAUGAGCUGUCGUGGAUGUCUUUUCAGUUCCUAAACUUUGUCUAGGUCACCCCGCAAGGGUAUCCCUGGGCCAUUAGCUCAGGUGGUUAGAGCGCACCCCUGAUAAGGGUGAGGUCCCUGGUUCAAGUCCAGGAUGGCCCAUUCGUGUUUGGGGGUUUAGCUCAGUUGGUAGAGCGCCUGCUUUGCAAGCAGGAUGUCAGCGGUUCGAGUCCGCUAACCUCCACUGACCAACCCAUCCGGAUCGCGAAAGCAACGGGAGAGCUUGUGGUGGUGAUUUUAGAUUUUUGUACUGAGAGAAGGACUCUAGCUUCCUUUCAUCUCAUGGUAAGCCUAAAUCGUUAAACGGAUUAAGGUGUGAGCCAUGAUUGAAAAGACGCUGGACUCCAGCAAGAUCAACCGAAAGGUUGAUAUUUGUUGUGUUCAGUAGAACCUUGACAACUGCAUAGGUAAGUCUGUAAAUAAAGCAUCUCAUGGAUGCUUCAACAGCAGCCAAUUAUUCCAAGGGCUUUUGCCAUUGGGAUGAAAUAUUGAUGUUGAAGCGAUUCUAGAGUAGGAGCCGAGACUCCACAUUGCUCCUGGUUCUUGCCGAAAGAAUCGGGUUUGAUCCUGUUUUCAUGGACAGUAGCCGAUGAACUGGAGAAAUCCAGAACGUCAGUUGCUGUAAUUGAAAGCAGGAAAAUCUGCGUACAACCGCAGUAAGGUGAUGUGGAGAUAAAUU